GUGUAUCGUUCUUGAGAAGGU
rnacentral:misc_RNA from 1 species